AAGUACAAAUUGAAUACGUAAAAGAGAUCUAUAAGAUCAUUUCCACUGAGAGUAUCUCAACAAAGUUUCUCAUUAUUAAAAUAAUU
rnacentral:sRNA from 1 species